rnacentral:lncRNA from 12 species
CGGGAAUACUUUAACUGACAACUAGUUUCACUCACCUCUGUCAACAUUUAUACAUUUAUACAGAGUUUUUUUUAACUCAUUCACAUGAUGAAAGCAGCAGGAGUUGCUCCAAAUCCCAAUAGUUUGAAAUAAAAUUGCAUUCCUUUCAAUAACAACACAGAUAUUUACUGGUUAUACCUGUCACUAUGGUUACAGGCGUUAACUGAAAGCUUGGUUACCUGAUCGUCACAGACAGCACCCGCUCUUGUGUACUAGUAGUAGUCACCCUUUAUAGUAAACACUGCUGAGCUGCUGUGAAUCACAAACACCGACUGAACGAAUCUCUCGUGAAGCGACGCGGGGAAAAAAAGCGGGAGGUGUGUGAUUGGCGCGCAAACCUCUCCCGCAUAGAGCGCGCGCGGCGGAUUCAGUUGCUCUCGCGCUGCUGCAGGGACGCUGGCUUCAAACGCGCGUCCAGAAACCGGAGUGAAAUACUGCUUUUAUCUACUUUUAUUGGAUGUUAAGAGAAGAUCAAUGUCUCCGCGGACUCGGUUGGUCAGCUCAUCCUGAUAUUUCUGAGAGAUGUCCGUUUAUACGCGGCGCCACAGACUCCAGCGGACUGAACUUCUCAUCGUCUCACCAUGACCUUCUCCAGCUCUUUAUUUGCCCUCCUCUUCAUCAGCAGCACCUCCAACAUCAAACCAGCCGGUUAGACGAGGACUGAAGCCAGAAGAGAUGAAAGACACUAAUGAUGUGAGGCUCUGUUUUACAUGUCUGUGCUGGAGAAAUGCUGUACCUUCAGGUCCGAUGUGGAGAAUCAAUGCAUUCCUCUGUUAAAUACGUUUCCUGAAGUGAUUUACUGUAGGGAUCCAUUUUUUGCAGUGCAUCCAUACUGCCCUGUUUUUGGCAGGUUUAUUUCUAUGCAAAUACAAAUGCAUGCAUCUACUUAAAGUUUUCUGGCAAAUCAUUCCAACAUGUUCUGGAGGAAUGAAUCCUAUUUGCAGAUGAAUCCAUCCCAAUUCCAUGUGAAAGUGAGCCUGUAUAACCUGAGAUGUUCAGAUGGCAUUAACAGUAGAAACGAAGGCAUGAUCC